CGCGUGAACUGUUCACACCACCAAAAAUGGCAAAAGAAAGCAGUAUAGAGAUUUAUUCUCCCACUGGCAUGAAAGCUGUGAUUCUGACCACCUUCUACAUCACUGUCUACCACCCCUACACCAGCUCUUAGAAGACAGAGUAACUGCAGGAUGCUGUGGUACCUGGAGUGAUGCCAGACUGCAGAGGCCACCUGGUGACAUGAGGAGAGAUUCAACUUAACAUGCCUACUCAACAUGAAGACGAGUGAAGACCU
rnacentral:lncRNA from 1 species